GGACGAACGCUGGCGGCGUGCCUAAUACAUGCAAGUAGAACGCUGAAGAGAGGAGCUUGCUCUUCUUGGAUGAGUUGCGAACGGGUGAGUAACGCGUAGGUAACCUGCCUGGUAGCGGGGGAUAACUAUUGGAAACGAUAGCUAAUACCGCAUGAAAUGGAUUAUCGCAUGAUAAUUCAUUGAAAGGUGCAAAUGCAUCACUACCAGAUGGACCUGCGUUGUAUUAGCUAGUUGGUGGGGUAACGGCUCACCAAGGCGACGAUACAUAGCCGACCUGAGAGGGUGAUCGGCCACACUGGGACUGAGACACGGCCCAGACUCCUACGGGAGGCAGCAGUAGGGAAUCUUCGGCAAUGGACGGAAGUCUGACCGAGCAACGCCGCGUGAGUGAAGAAGGUUUUCGGAUCGUAAAGCUCUGUUGUAAGAGAAGAACGAGUGUGAGAGUGGAAAGUUCACACUGUGACGGUAUCUUACCAGAAAGGGACGGCUAACUACGU
rnacentral:rRNA from 1 species